rnacentral:misc_RNA from 1 species
GUAGAAGGUAAUCAUGUUAGAUUGAGUGGUCAGGAUGUUGAAAGAGGUACAUUUAGUCACCGGCAUUCAGUAAUUCAUGAUCAAGAAACUGGGGAGAAGUAUUGCCCUCUGGACCAUGUUAUCAUGAACCAAAAUGAGGAGAUGUUUACUGUCAGUAACAGUUCUCUUUCAGAGUUUGGCGUUCUUGGAUUUGAACUGGGUUACUCAAUGGAAAGUCCGAAUUCAUUGGUAAUCUGGGAAGCUCAAUUUGGUGACUUUGCUAA